CCUACGGGCGGCUGCAGUGGGGAAUAUUGGACAAUGGGCGAAAGCCUGAUCCAGCCAUGCCGCGUGUGUGAAGAAGGCCUUCGGGUUGUAAAGCACUUUCAGUGGGGAAGAAAGCCUUGGGGCUAAUACCCUCGAGGAAGGACAUCACCCACAGAAGAAGCACCGGCUAACUCCGUGCCAGCAGCCGCGGUAAUACGGAGGGUGCGAGCGUUAAUCGGAAUUACUGGGCGUAAAGCGCGCGUAGGCGGUCUGUUAAGCCGGUUGUGAAAGCCCCGGGCUCAACCUGGGAACGGCAUCCGGAACUGUCAGGCUAGAGUGCAGUAGAGGAAGGUAGAAUUCCCGGUGUAGCGGUGAAAUGCGUAGAGAUCGGGAGGAAUACCAGUGGCGAAGGCGGCCUUCUGGACUGACACUGACGCUGAGGUGCGAAAGCGUGGGUAGCAAACAGGAUUAGAUACCCCAGUAGUC
rnacentral:rRNA from 1 species